rnacentral:tRNA from 1 species
GGGGGAGUGCCCGAGUGGUUAAAGGGGCCUGGCUGUAAACCAGGUGGCUACGCCUACACAGGUUCGAAUCCUGUCUCCCCCA